GGGGGGUGCAAGCGUUGUUCGGAUUUAUUGGGCGUAAAGCGCGUGUAGGCGGUUUUUUAAGUCUGAUGUGAAAGCCCUGGGCUCAACCCAGGAAGUGCAUUGGAUACUGGAAGACUUGAAUACGGGAGAGGGUAGUGGAAUUCCUAGUGUAGGAGUGAAAUCCGUAGAUAUUAGGAGGAACACCGGUGGCGAAGGCGGCUACCUGGACCGAUAUUGACGCUGAGACGCGAAAGCGUGGGGAGCAAACAGGAUUAGAUACCCUGGUAGUCCACGCCGUAAACGAUGAGAACUAGGUGUUGCGGGUAUUGACCCCUGCAGUGCCGCAGCUAACGCAUUAAGUUCUCCGCCUGGGAAGUACGGUCGCAAGACUA
rnacentral:rRNA from 1 species